ACGUAGGGUGCGAGCGUUAAUCGGAAUUACUGGGCGUAAAGCGUGCGCAGGCGGUUAUGCAAGACAGAUGUGAAAUCCCCGGGCUCAACCUGGGAACUGCAUUAGUGACUGCAUAGCUAGAGUGCGGCAGAGGGGGAUGGAAUUCCGCGUGUAGCAGUGAAAUGCGUAGAUAUGCGGAGGAACACCGAUGGCGAAGGCAAUCCCCUGGGCCUGCACUGACGCUAAGACGCGACAGCACGGGGAGCGAACGG
rnacentral:rRNA from 1 species